GACGAACGCUGGCGGCGUGCCUAAUACAUGCAAGUAGAACGCACAGUUUAUACCGUAGCUUGCUACACCAUAAACUGUGAGUUGCGAACGGGUGAGUAACGCGUAGGUAACCUGCCUGGUAGCGGGGGAUAACUAUUGGAAACGAUAGCUAAUACCGCAUAAUAUUAAUUAUUGCAUGAUAAUUGAUUGAAAGAUGCAAUUGCAUCACUACCAGAUGGACCUGCGUUGUAUUAGCUAGUAGGUGAGGUAACGGCUCACCUAGGCGACGAUACAUAGCCGACCUGGGAGGGUGAUCGGCCACACUGGGACUGGGACACGGCCCAGACUCCUACGGGAGGCAGCAGUAGGGAAUCUUCGGCAAUGGACGAAAGUCUGACCGAGCAACGCCGCGUGAGUGAAGAAGGGUUUCGGAUCGUAAAGCUCUGUUGUAAGAGAAGAACGGGUGUGAGAGUGGAAAGUUCACACUGUGACGGUAUCUUACCAGAAAGGGACGGCUAACUACGUG
rnacentral:rRNA from 1 species